GAUGAACGCUAGCUACAGGCUUAACACAUGCAAGUCGAGGGGAAACGACAUCGAAAGCUUGCUUUUGAUGGGCGUCGACCGGCGCACGGGUGAGUAACGCGUAUCCAACCUGCCCACCACUUGGGGAUAACCUUGCGAAAGUAAGACUAAUACCCGAUGAUAUCCCUAGACGACAUCUGAAAGGGAUUAAAGAUUUAUCGGUGAUGGAUGGGGAUGCGUCUGAUUAGCUUGUUGGCGGGGUAACGGCCCACCAAGGCAACGAUCAGUAGGGGUUCUGAGAGGAAGGUCCCCCACAUUGGAACUGAGACACGGUCCAAACUCCUACGGGAGGCAGCAGUGAGGAAUAUUGGUCAAUGGGCGCGAGCCUGAACCAGCCAAGUAGCGUGCAGGAUGACGGCCCUAUGGGUUGUAAAACCUCUUUUUAUAAGGGGAAUAAAAUACGGGACGUGUCCUGUUUUGCAUGUACCUUAUGAAUAAGGACCGGCUAAUUCCGUG
rnacentral:rRNA from 1 species